CCAUUUCGUGACGGUUACAAGUACAUCCUAACCGUGGAAAUAACAAGAAACGAGUGCCACCUUCCGGGGCUUGGAAUGUGUCCAAUUUUUCAAAUGGUAUAUCAGUGCACAUUUGUAGUGUUCCACAGUGAGUCGUUCCAACGUUGGGUGCUGCUGGAAUCGAAAUGCUUGUAGGAGAAAACAACAGAUUUUUCUGAACUAAAGUUUCUUGCAGGUUAAUGUGAAAGUGAAACACUAAAAUACCAUUUGGCCAAUAAAACCUUGAGUUGAAAAACA